GUGACAUAUCAUAAGCAAGCUAAACUGCAUAAAGGUAAGUCAUUAUUGCUUAGGCGGGGCUUUGUGGUGGCACAACUGUCAAACCGGAGACUUUUCAAUGCUGCUUUUGACUUCUGCAACCUGUUGGAAAGGACCCGGUUGAGCGCUUCACUUCAGCUAAAGCCCCUUGGAGGACCGAGAGGAUGCCACACACACACUUCCUCUGACUACGAGACAGAAGAGUACACAAGGUAUCAGUUAGAGUUCAGCUGGAGACAACUCCUGCCAGAGGACAAGGAAAUAAACAGAUGUGAUGGGACAGUUUUGGGUUCCUGGCAAAUUCAAAAAAACAAGAGAUGGUUGCACCUGAAGAGGAAAAAUAAUGAGAAACCAAAAAGAAAAGAGAAGACAAAAAAACAACAACAACACAGUGUCACGUUUAGCACUUUUCAAGGACGUGCUUUCUACUGAAGGCCAGGGGGAUUCAAACAACAUGAGAAAAGACAAUCCUGUACAGGACACUACAACACCAAUGAUGAAGAGACGUGAUUUAAAAGCAGUUCUCGCAGACCAAAUACUAACUGAGGCACCAGCAGAGCCAAAGCUCCAUUACCCCUUGACUUUGUUUUGGACUCUGAGCAGCUUGCCAAACAAACGAUCUAACCCCAGUAGAUACGAGAGGCCUUUCAGGA